GGAAGAUUCAGGCGAUUUAUAGCAGCUGUUUUUUUAUUAGCGCACAGAUUGAUAAAAAUAGGUCACAGAGUCAGCUGUCCGUCUUUACCGACAAGGAAACUGGAUCUCGCGGUUUUAAAUGUGUGCAGAAUAUUCAAACAGUUCCAGUGUUACUUGGAAGUCGAAAUGAAAUCAAGUUCUAAUUAUAAAUCGGUAAUGUAUGAGUUGCUGGAUAGGUACUUGAGCUUCCUGCCGCCAUAAGGCACCACUAGUUUCAUUUCCACCCUCUUGAAAUCUAUCGU